AGGCCUACUUGAGGAGUUAUGGAAUUCAAUCUUAGCGCAAUUGCCUAGAUACUCUACAACAUAAUGGUAUGGCUGAACGGAAGAAUGGACUUGUCCUCAAUGUUGUGCGAACAUUACUACAGGAAUCUCAUACUCCAACUUCAUUUUGGGUAGAAGCAGUCAGUACAACUGUGUAUUUAAUCAACUAUCUUCCCUCCUUUGUUCUCGGCAACACUUCUCCCUUCCAAAAACUUUUUGGUCAUCUCCCAGAUUUCUCUAGUCUUCAUGUUUUUGGUUGUCUUUGUUUUGUACAUCUUCCUAUUCGUGAACAAUCUAAAUUAACUGCUCAAUCUGCUAUGUGUGCCUUUGUGGGAUAUAGUCCUGACCACAAAGGAUUUUUGUGCUAUGAUCYUGCUAUUCGUCGUUUUCGGAUUUCCCGAAAUGUUGUGUUUCUUUAACAUAUUUUGUUCUUUGUUGGGAUUGCUAGAUUGUCUGUUCUUUCCAUCUCUAUUUUGCAGGACUUUGAUUCAGACAACACUACUACUUCCUCGACUGAGAGAGAUUUUCUCGUCUUCACCCGCAAGUGACUACCGGUUCUUGCGCCUACAACCCUCCUUCCACCCAGUCCAGAGCAUUCCUCUUCUGUACCCCCUAUAAGUGACGCUUUAGCCCAAGAUCCUCCUAUUUCAAAUAGUAGUUCUGUUAUUCCACUUCGUCAUUCUACUCAUAUUUCUUGACCCCCUGACCGCUAUGGUUUUCCUUCAAACCAUAGUUCCUUUUCUGUUGUACUUUCUUCCACAGAUAUUUCUCCACAACUUUCUCACUCUUGUUUCACUACAUUUUUUGACUCUCUCCUUCUCUCGUUCCACGACUUCUCCCACUAAACCCUAUUUUCCUUCGCAUUUCCCUUCAUUCUCCCUUGAACAACAAAAUCAGUAUCAUUAUUCAUGCCGCCACCACUGAUUCCUACAUUGAAUGGCAUUGCUACAUUUGUUUGAGGGUAUCUAUCCAGAUUAAGCGUCAAGACAAAGGGGAUUAAGAAAGAGAGUUGAAUCUCAAGCUACAGGUUACGGGAAAGUGAUAAGGACUUAAAGGCUCCUAAACUACAUCCAUUGGGCUGGCAUAUUUCUUAUGUUAAGUCACUUGCAGAGUUUUCACGAAUUCCUAUUGUUGUGACCAACCAAGCCAGAAGUCAAAAUAGCAAUGAUUCCUUUCACUAUCCCUUCCAAGGUAAAAGGUUUAUUAAAGUGGAAAAAUCUCUAGUAUCACCACCUCUUGCAUUUCCUUUUGUCGUUACUUCAUCAAGGAUUUCAUUAGUAAGUGAUGAUGUUAUAGAAAUACCUGGACCAGAGAUAAGCGCAAUCCACUG